UACGUAGGGCGCAAGCGUUGUCCGGAAUUAUUGGGCGUAAAGAGCUCGUAGGCGGCUUGUCACGUCGGAUGUGAAAGCCCGGGGCUUAACUCCGGGUCUGCAUUCGAUACGGGCUGGCUAGAGUGUGGUAGGGGAGAUCGGAAUUCCUGGUGUAGCGGUGAAAUGCGCAGAUAUCAGGAGGAACACCGGUGGCGAAGGCGGGUCUCUGGGCCGAAACUGACGCU
rnacentral:rRNA from 1 species